CCUACGGGGAGGCAGCAGUAGGGAAUCUUCCACAAUGGGCGCAAGCCUGAUGGAGCAACACCGCGUGAGUGAAGAAGGGUUUCGGCUCGUAAAGCUCUGUUGUUAAAGAAGAACACGUAUGAGAGUAACUGUUCAUACGUUGACGGUAUUUAACCAGAAAGUCACGGCUAACUACGUGCCAGCAGCCGCGGUAAUACGUAGGUGGCAAGCGUUAUCCGGAUUUAUUGGGCGUAAAGAGAGUGCAGGCGGUUUUCUAAGUCUGAUGUGAAAGCCUUCGGCUUAACCGGAGAAGUGCAUCGGAAACUGGAUAACUUGAGUGCAGAAGAGGGUAGUGGAACUCCAUGUGUAGCGGUGGAAUGCGUAGAUAUAUGGAAGAACACCAGUGGCGAAGGCGGCUACCUGGUCUGCAACUGACGCUGAGACUCGAAAGCAUGGGUAGCGAACAGGAUUAGAUACCCUGGUAG
rnacentral:rRNA from 1 species